rnacentral:misc_RNA from 1 species
UUUUUUUCAGAACUACUUCUUAACAUCCCACGAAAUGGUAAAUAGAAAAGGCCAUUAUAGCUCCAACAACCCAUAAAGCCACAAACAACCAUUGUCAAAUUUCCAAGCAUAUAAUGGGAUUGGGGGAAUGAAAAAAAAUAAGAGAGAAAAGGCAAAUAACAGCAUUUGCUCAAACAAGUUUGCAUAUGCUGCAUGUUACAAAAACUGAAUUCAAGACUUAAAAAGGAUCUGAUUUCCUUUAUCAUCCAACAUGGAUCCGGUAGGCUGUCACAAUGGUGUUGCAAGCCCUU